CACGCCGUAAACGAUGAGCACUAGGUGUCGGGGCCGCAAGGUUUCGGUGCCGCAGUUAACGCAUUAAGUGCUCCGCCUGGGGAGUACGUGCGCAAGCAUGAAACUCAAAGGAAUUGACGGGGACCCGCACAAGCAGCGGAGCAUGUGGUUUAAUUCGAAGCAACGCGAAGAACCUUACCAGGGCUUGACAUCCCUCUGACCGGCUGGUAACGCAGCCUUCCCUUCGGGGCAGAGGUGACAGGUGG
rnacentral:rRNA from 1 species